rnacentral:lncRNA from 1 species
GGGGGGGGUGUUAUAGUUUCUGGUCUAAGACAGAUUUUUUUCGUAGUAAGUGCGAUUAUUUGGGUUUUUUUUUCGUUUUUCGACGCUAUCAAUGUAGUUAUUUUUGUACAAAAUUUUAACACUACAAGGUAAGGGGAUAUUCUUGAUUCAGAAUAUUUCUUUUUUUCUCUCUGCUUGAUGAAUAUUUCAUUAGGAAAACCAUAUCCCUAUUCCCUUUUUAAAGUGAAAAAAGUGAAAUGUUCGUUCUUUACCAAGGCUUUUCUACCUCAGGAAAAGAUGAUCUUAGCUGUAAUUUGCAAAACUUUUAGGAAUUUUUAGUCCUCGAU